rnacentral:rRNA from 1 species
GACGAACGCUGGCGGCGUGCCUAAUACAUGCAAGUUGAGCGCUGAAGGUUGGUACUUGUACCAACUGGAUGAGCAGCGAACGGGUGAGUAACGCGUGGGGAAUCUGCCUUUGAGCGGGGGACAACAUUUGGAAACGAAUGCUAAUACCGCAUAAAAACUUUAAACACAAGUUUUAAGUUUGAAAGAUGCAAUUGCAUCACUCAAAGAUGAUCCCGCGUUGUAUUAGCUAGUUGGUGAGGUAAAGGCUCACCAAGGCGAUGAUACAUAGCCGACCUGAGAGGGUGAUCGGCCACAUUGGGACUGAGACACGGCCCAAACUCCUACGGGAGGCAGCAGUAGGGAAUCUUCGGCAAUGGACGAAAGUCUGACCGAUCAACGCCGCGUGAGUGAAGAAGGUUUUCGGAUCGUAAAACUCUGUUGGUAGAGAAGAACGUUGGUGAGAGUGGAAAGCUCAUCAAGUGACGGUAACUACCCAGAAAGGGACGGCUAACUACGUG